rnacentral:lncRNA from 1 species
CGGGUGGACACCUUGACCUUGACCUUGAGGAACUGGGAGCAGAGAAACAAAUCAAGCCAUCUCAGACUUGCAACCUAGAGGACUGUGAAAUAAUAAAGAUGUACAGAUUUAAGCAGAUAAAUGCUACCUGAGAGAAACAGAAGAUAAAACUACCACCAGGACGCACCAGCAGCAUGACACAGGGCCAGUGACUUCGGCUGCUAAAAUCAAGACGUACACCAGAGGGCGCUGCAGUUAAAGAGCGAGGCAGAGGUAGAAAUGGACAAAGAGUCGCCCGCUUGAUACAGGGGAUCACACUUGUCCUGCCGGAUUGUCUUGGAAGAAGGACUAUGGUGGAGGAAAGGACUCCCGGCCUUCAGGGAAGGGUAGAGGGUGAGGGGACAAGUGAGCCCCAACCUCAAGCUUGAUGUAAGUGGAGGGCCAAGUCUACUGGGUCCUUCAGGAACCAUGAGCAUAAGAACUUCCGGAACCUCUGCAAAUGUGUGCUUGCUGACUAGUGCCUGCUUCCUGUCAAAAACACACAAAGAAAAGGUUCCACACACUUGCUUCCUGGGCAGCAAAAGAGAUAAAGAGGAGAAAGCAGGUGAUGGGUGAACUGGCUCUAGGCAGAUGGGGAGAGAAUGGCCCUAGGGGACAGUGAGGGGCUGCUUUGUUAGGAGAGGAUGAAGGCUGAUUUUUGGUGGCCAGAACAGGGAAAGAGAUAAAAGCCCGGAGACUCAUAAGGAGUCUCUGAAAGGACCCUGACACUGAGCAGGAGAAAG